CAGCCAACUAUGAUCACAUUCCAAUUCCAAAAACUGUGAAUCAAGCAUAGGGAUGGAAACUCUGGGGAUAGCAAACUGACAGCAGCAAAGGCUUUUGAAGAGAAACUCCAUAGAAGCAGCAACAUUUUUAGAGCACAAGGACUGAAGAUAGAGGGAGCUGUGUGAAGUACAUGGAAAGAAAGGGAUGCAAAUAAAGUUAUAAAUAGGAAGCCUGUCAAGAAAAAAGGAGGCAACAUUGAGAACUUCUUGGCUGAUUUGAAUAUUCAAAUCCAUCGUGCUUGGAGUAGCUUAAAAGUAGGGGAAUAUAGUCCACUCUGAUUACAUUUAUCAUUAAAUCAG